GUGUGUGGGCACUGUCACCGGGCAUGGCCUAUGGGACUCACUCUCUUGUUGUCUGCUCUUACUUUAGAUUCCACUCCACCAGGCUUUCUGUUUGGUGUUGCUUUUCAGAUUUUCCCCUCUGUGAAACUGGCUAUCCGGAGUUGCUUUCAGUUUGGUUGUUUUUUUCAUUCCCAACCCUUUUCAAUAUUAUUAUUAUUUUUUUUUUUAUUUUGAGACCAGGACAAGGUCUGUCUAAGUUGCUCAGGCUGGGUCAAAGUUGUGAUUCUCCUGCCUCAUCCUCCCAGAGUACUGGGAUCAUAUGACCUGCUCUCCCAGAUGCACCAUGAUGAGGCUGAUGUAAACACUAAUUUAUUUUAUUCAUUACAUUAUCAAUGUAGUGGUCUUGGCAGACAGCUAAAUAGCCCUCAGUUGCGGACAAGGAAACUGAGGUAUAGAAUAAUUCACAAGACAGGGCUGGUUCUCAAGGUCACAUGAGAAAUACAGAUGACUGAUGUGAUAAGAAUGCCAGAGGUCAGGAGGAGAAUAAUGCUGUGUGUCCUAAAUACACUGAAUAAUUUAUAAUUAAUGAUGCACAAUGAUGGUCACGAUUAACAGUAACGAAGUGGGCAGUGGGGUCAGCUGCUGGAAGAGAUUUGAAGCUGCUUUGAAGGACUUGACUGAAGAUGGCAUCCAUAGGCCGCAGCUGGGGUUUGCUGUUGCCCUGGCACCCAGAGCUUUUGUCACAAAGCACUAAGUGGGAGGCACUGUGAGGGGGGCUCAGGAGGAGGACCUGAUGCGGGUGCUGUUCGUGUCCUUCGAAGAUGUGCAGGCGGGCACAGUGAGGGCCAGGACGGACACCUUGCCCGCCUCUGCAGGGCCCCACGGGACCCGGUGACACUGCUGUGCGGAACACACGUGGCUCCAGUGGCCGUGCAUCUUGGAGUCCUGGCCCACGGCAAGGUCAGCACGAGCCAGGCGUCCAGCCCUGCAGCUAAGUGUUCCCUCUGGCGUCACAGUUCCCAUCAGCACCUGGAAUCUCACUGAGAACCAGAGCUGGGAGAGAGCAUGCGGCCAGAACCUCAGGCCCAGGACAAGCAGAUCACCCUUACCACCCAUAAGGGAGAAGCCCACACUGGACCGUCUCACAGGAAGGCAGCACAGUGAGGUGGACAGAGCCGCCAGGAGCACAAGUGGCAGAGUGGAGCCCGCAGGACGCUGCGCCGCCUGGGGCGGGACCACAGUGACACCAGCUGCUUUCCCACAGCUCUCCGUUCACGUCUCACAGACCCCUCCCACGCGCGUGCGAAACCUGUUCUAUGACUUAACUUGUUUUCAGAUGAAGUUUACUGGGGUACAGAAACGACUGCCACACAGCACUGGAAGGGAGGGGUGGGAACGUGUGGAAAGAGCCAGAGAAGAGAAACAGGAAGCCUCGGGCCUCCGUCCUGGGGGAGAUUAGGGAGAAGGCUCCUCCACUGUUCAAAGGCAGCUGCUCAGAAAAUUACUAAACUGAAGCGAACAAAAUGUCAGAAAUUCUUUGGAUGUGAUUCUAGGGACCCGUUGUAAGUUGUCCUUACCAAAGCAAUUAAAUGCUUCACUUUUUAAAAUUCUUUCCAUAAUUUGCCAUAUAUGACUUUAAGGUGAGCAAAAUUAAUUUUUCUUCAUGUAAGUUAUUUGCUUAUGUACAAAGAAUUACUGUUAUUAAAAUGGAAGUUAUUGAGCA
ensembl:lincRNA